rnacentral:rRNA from 1 species
ACAGAGGGGGCAAGCGUUGUUCGGAAUUACUGGGCGUAAAGGGCGCGUAGGCGGCCGCCUAAGUCAGACGUGAAAUCCCUCGGCUCAACCGGGGAACUGCGUCUGAUACUGGGUGGCUUGAAUCCGGGAGAGGGAUGCGGAAUUCCAGGUGUAGCGGUGAAAUGCGUAGAUAUCUGGAGGAACACCGGUGGCGAAGGCGGCAUCCUGGACCGGUAUUGACGCUGAGGCGCGAAAGCCAGGGGAGCAAACGGGA